AUUGCCUUUAGUCCAAGUGGGAGAUAUUAAAAAAUAUAUCCUAAAAUUAAUCAUCUAGGUUAUAAAUGAUUGUGCUCCAUAUAUGUAUAUGAAUUAUAAAAUGAUAAAUAUUAUUUGGUAGAUUCAUCAUAAGGAAUACAUCUUUCAAAAUAGAACUCAUAUAUUAUGAUGAAGUCCUUAGAGCAACUUCCAAAAUGAUAAAAGAGGAUUUAUCGUGUGGUUCUUAAAUUC
rnacentral:lncRNA from 1 species